GAUGAUGUAGGUGUAGAAGUGAGCUAGUAUACUCUAGCUAGUAGAGAGGCAGACAGCAGAUGAUGUAGGUGUAGAAGUGAGCUAGUAUACUCUAGCUAGUAGAGAGGCAGACAGCAGAUGAUGAUGUAGAGGCAGACAGCAGAUGAUGUAGGUGUAGAAGUGAGCUAGUAUACUCUAGCUAGUAGAGAGGCAGACAGCAGAUGAUGUAGGUGUAGAAGUGAGCUAGUAUACUCUAGCUAGUAGAGAGGCAGACAGCAGAUGAUGUAGGUGUAGAAGUGAGCUAGUAUACUCUAGCUAGUAGAGAGGCAGACA